rnacentral:rRNA from 1 species
CUACGUGCCAGCAGCCGCGGUAAUACGUAGGGUGCGAGCGUUAAUCGGAAUUACUGGGCGUAAAGCGAGCGCAGACGGUUACUUAAGCAGGAUGUGAAAUCCCCGGGCUCAACCUGGGAACUGCGUUCUGAACUGGGUGACUAGAGUGUGUCAGAGGGAGGUAGAAUUCCACGUGUAGCAGUGAAAUGCGUAGAGAUGUGGAGGAAUACCGAUGGCGAAGGCAGCCUCCUGGGAUAACACUGACGUUCAUGCUCGAAAGCGUGGGUAGCAAACAGGAUUAGAUACCCUGGUAGUCCACGCCCUAAACGAUGUCAAUUAGCUGUUGGGCAACUUGAUUGCUUAGUAGCGUAGCUAACGCGUGAAAUUGACCGCCUGGGGAGUACGGUCGCAAGAUUAAAACUCAAAGGAAUUGACGGGGACCCGCACAAGCAGCGGAGCAUGUGGUUUAAUUCGAAGCAACGCGAAGAACCUUACCAGGACUUGACAUCC